rnacentral:rRNA from 1 species
UACGUAGGUGACCAGCGUUGUCCGGAUUUACUGGGCGUAAAGAGCGCGCAGGCGGUCGUUCAAGUCGAGUGUGAAAGCCCCCGGCUCAACUGGGGAGGGUCACUCGAUACUGAUCGACUGGAAGGCAGGAGAGGGAAGCGGAAUUCCCGGUGUAGUGGUGAAAUGCGUAGAUAUCGGGAGGAACACCAGUGGCGAAGGCGGCUUCCUGGCCUGUUCUUGACGCUGAGGCGCGAAAGCUAGGGGAGCAAACGAG